UACGAAGGGUGCAAGCGUUACUCGGAAUUACUGGGCGUAAAGCGUGCGUAGGUGGUUUGUUAAGUCUGAUGUGAAAGCCCUGGGCUCAACCUGGGAAUUGCAUUGGAUACUGGCAGGCUAGAGUGCGGUAGAGGGUAGUGGAGUUCCCGGUGUAGCAGUGAAAUGCGUAGAGAUCGGGAGGAACAUCCGUGGCGAAGGCGACUACCUGGACCAGCACUGACACUGAGGCACGAAAGCGUGGGGAGC
rnacentral:rRNA from 1 species